AUUGAACGCUGGCGGCAGGCCUAACACAUGCAAGUCUAGCGGAUGAAGGGAGCUUGCUCCUGGAUUCACCGGCGGACGGGUGAGUAAUGCCUAGGAAUCUGCCUGGUAGUGGGGGAUAACGUCCGGAAACGGGCGCUAAUACCGCAUACGUCCUGAGGGAGAAAGUGGGGGAUCUUCGGACCUCACGCUAUCAGAUGAGCCUAGGUCGGAUUAGCUAGUUGGUGGGGUAAAGGCCUACCAAGGCGACGAUCCGUAACUGGUCUGAGAGGAUGAUCAGUCACACUGGAAUUGAGAAACGGGCCAGACCCCUAGGGGGGGAAGGAGGGGGGAAUUUUGGAAAAGGGGGGAAAGCCUGAUCCAGCCAUGCCGGGGGGGUGAAGAAGGUCUUCGGAUUGUAAAGCACUUUAAGUUGGGAGGAAGGGCAGUAAGUUAAUACCUUGCUGUUUUGACGUUACCAACAGAAUAAGCACCGGCUAACUUCGG
rnacentral:rRNA from 1 species